CAGCAUGGGUCGCUUGGAAACAGUUCUUGGAUAGCAAAUUUAGUCAAGAAUCAAAAUCUCCAAGGCCUGGAGCUGUUCUUAACUUAGGCGCAGUUGCCGCUUUACUAUGGGAUGUGGGCCUCAAGUGCCCGUUCCCAAAAGCG
rnacentral:lncRNA from 1 species